AGAGUUGAUUAUGGCUCAGGAUGAACGCUGGCGGCGUGCUUAACACAUGCAAGUCGAACGGGGAAACAAUGAAAGAAGUUUCGGAUGGAAUUUAUGUUUCUAGUGGCGGACGGGUGAGUAACGCGUAAACAAUCUGCCUUAGAGAGGGGGAUAACAGAUAGAAAUAUUUGCUAAUACCGCAUAAGACCACAGGUAGGCAUCUACUAGGGGUAAAAGGAGCAAUCCGCUUUAAGAUGAGUUUGCGUACUAUUAGCUAGUUGGUGAGGUAACGGCCCACCAAGGCGACGAUGGUUAGCCGGCCUGAGAGGGUGAACGGCCACAUUGGAACUGAGAUACGGUCCAGACUCCUACGGGAGGCAGCAGUGAGGAAUAUUGGGCAAUGGGCGAAAGCCCUGACCCAGCAACGCCGCGUGAAGGAAGAAGGUUUUAGGAUUGUAAACUUCUGUUGUAAGGGAAAAGAAAGUGAUGGUACCUUACGAGGAAGCUACGGCAAACUAUGUGCCAGCAGCGGC
rnacentral:rRNA from 1 species